AGAGUUUGAUCCUGGCUCAGGAUGAACGCUGGCGGCGUGCCUAACACAUGCAAGUCGAGCGAAGCGCUGUUUUCAGAAUCUUCGGAGGAAGAGGACAGUGACUGAGCGGCGGACGGGUGAGUAACGCGUGGGCAACCUGCCUCAUACAGGGGGAUAACAGUUAGAAAUGACUGCUAAUACCGCAUAAGCGCACAGGACCGCAUGGUGUAGUGUGAAAAACUCCGGUGGUAUGAGAUGGACCCGCGUCUGAUUAGGUAGUUGGUGGGGUAAAGGCCUACCAAGCCGACGAUCAGUAGCCGACCUGAGAGGGUGACCGGCCACAUUGGGACUGAGACACGGCCCAAACUCCUACGGGAGGCAGCAGUGGGGAAUAUUGCACAAUGGGGGAAACCCUGAUGCAGCGACGCCGCGUGAAGGAAGAAGUAUUUCGGUAUGUAAACUUCUAUCAGCAGGGAAGAAAAUGACGGUACCUGACUAAGAAGCCCCGGCUAACUACGUGCCAGCAGCCGCGGUAAUACGUAGGGGGCAAGCGUUAUCCGGAUUUACUGGGUGUAAAGGGAGCGUAGACGGCAUGGCAAGCCAGAUGUGAAAGCCCGGGGCUCAACCCCGGGACUGCAUUUGGAACUGUCAGGCUAGAGUGUCGGAGAGGAAAGCGGAAUUCCUAGUGUAGCGGUGAAAUGCGUAGAUAUUAGGAGGAACACCAGUGGCGAAGGCGGCUUACUGGACGGUGACUGACGUUGAGGCUCGAAAGCGUGGGGAGCAAACAGGAUUAGAUACCCUGGUAGUCCACGCCGUAAACG
rnacentral:rRNA from 1 species